UGAAGAAAAUCUUGCAGGCAGUUUGGUUUUGCGUUUCGGCCGACUUGAAGUUUGGAUUGGUUCAUCAACGGUAUCCUCAAGGUCCAUUGCGUCCGAGUGAAGACCAGGUUGGCGAUACUGACCGAUACUUGUUCCGAAAUUGUUUCCUGGUCUGAUUGAGAAGGCCACUUCCGCAAAUGAGAAACUGGUCGAUGCCAACGAUAUAGCAGUCAUCCCCUCACCUAUGGCACAAAGAAAAUGUUCGGAUGGCUCGUCGAAUGGUGUUUGUGAUUCAGCACAAAGCCGCGAGAGGAUAUCAGAAAUGUUCGUUGGCCCCG